AUUGAACGCUGGCGGCAUGCUUUACACAUGCAAGUCGAACGGUAACAGGUCUUCGGAUGCUGACGAGUGGCGAACGGGUGAGUAAUACAUCGGAACGUGCCUAGUAGUGGGGGAUAACUACUCGAAAGAGUAGCCAAUACCGCAUGAGAUCUACGGAUGAAAGCAGGGGACCUUCGGGCCUUGUGCUACUAGAGCGGCUGAUGGCAGAUUAGGUAGUUGGUGGGGUAAAGGCUUACCAAGCCUGCGAUCUGUAGCUGGUCUGAGAGGACGACCAGCCACACUGGGACUGAGACACGGCCCAGACUCCUACGGGAGGCAGCAGUGGGGAAUUUUGGACAAUGGGCGAAAGCCUGAUCCAGCAAUGCCGCGUGCAGGAUGAAGGCCCUCGGGUUGUAAACUGCUUUUGUACGGAACGAAAAGCCUGGGGCUAAUAUCCCCGGGUCAUGACGGUACCGUAAGAAUAAGCACCGGCUAACUACGUG
rnacentral:rRNA from 1 species